GCCAGACUCCUACGGGAGGCAGCAGUGGGGAAUAUUGCACAAUGGGGGAAACCCUGAUGCAGCGACGCCGCGUGAGUGAAGAAGUAUCUCGGUACGUAAAGCUCUCUCAGCAGGGAAGAAAAUGACGGUACCUGACCAAGAAGCCCCGGCUAACUACGUGCCAGCAGCCGCGGUAAUACGUAGGGGGCAAGCGUUAUCCGGAUUUACUGGGUGUAAAGGGAGCGUAGACGGCGACGCAAGUCUGGAGUGAAAGCCCGGGGCCCAACCCCGGGACUGCUCUGGAAACUGCGUCGCUGGAGUACGGGAGGGGCAGGCGGAAUUCCUGGUGUAGCGGUGAAAUGCGUAGAUAUCAGGAGGAACACCGGCGGCGAAGGCGGCUUACUGGACCAUGACUGACGUUGAGGCUCGAAAGCGUGGGGAGCGAACAGGAUUAGAUACCCCAGUAAUA
rnacentral:rRNA from 1 species